rnacentral:rRNA from 1 species
AGCCUGAACGCUGGCGGCGUGGCUAAGACAUGCAAGUCGUACGGUGUAGCAAUACACAGUGGCGAACGGGUGAGUAAUGAAUCGCUAAUGUGCCCCGGACUCUGGGAUAGCUGACCGAAAGGUCAGGUAAUACCAGAUGACAUAACCUUUCCGCAUGGUGAGGUUCUCAAAGGUCCGCCGGUCUGGGAGCAGGCGAUUUUGUAUCAGCUAGUUGGUGAGGUAACGGCUCACCAAGGCGACGACGCAUAGCCGGACUGAGAGGUUGGCCGGCCACAUUGGGACUGAGACACUGCCCAGACUCCGUACGGGGGCUGCAGUACGAAUCUCCGCAAUGCACGAAGUGUGACGGAGCGACGCCGCGUGUGGGACGAAGUCCGUUA